GAUGAAGAACGUAGCGAAAUGCGAUAAGUAAUGUGAAUUGCAGAAUUCUGUGAAUCAUCGAAUCUUUGAACGCACAUUGCGCCCGCCAGUAUUCUGGCGGGCAUGCCUGUUCGAGCGUCAUUUCAACCAUCAAGCCCCCGGGCUUGUGUUGGGGACCUGCGGCUGCCGCAGGCCCUGAAAAGCAGUGGCGGGCUCGCUGUCACACCGAGCGUAGUAGAUUUUAUCUCGCUCUGGGCGUGCUGCGGGUUCCGGCCGUUAAACCACCCUUUUAACCCAAGGUUGACCUCGGAUCAGGUAGGAAGACCCGCUGAACAUAAGCAUAUCAAUAAGCGGAGGA
rnacentral:misc_RNA from 1 species